rnacentral:rRNA from 1 species
UACGGGGGGGGCAAGCGUUGUUCGGAAUUACUGGGCGUAAAGGGCUCGUAGGCGGCCAACUAAGUUAGACGUGAAAUCCCUCGGCUUAACCGGGGAACUGCAUCUGAUACUGGAUGGCUUGAGUUCGGGAGAGGGAUGCGGAAUUCCAGGUGUAGCGGUGAAAUGCGUAGAUAUCUGGAGGAACACCGGUGGCGAAGGCGGCAUCCUGGACCGACACUGACGCUGAGGAGCGAAAGCCAGGGGAGCAAAGCGGGG